UUCGGGGUACACGAGUGGCGAACGGGUGAGUAACACGUGGGUAAUCUGCCCUGCACUUCGGGAUAAGCCUGGGAAACUGGGUCUAAUACCGGAUAUUCAGCUUUCACCGCAUGGUGGUGGUUGGAAAGUUUUUCGGUGCAGGAUGAGCCCGCGGCCUAUCAGCUUGUUGGUGGGGUAAUGGCCUACCAAGGCGACGACGGGUAGCCGGCCUGAGAGGGUGAUCGGCCACACUGGGACUGAGACACGGCCCAGACUCCUACGGGAGGCAGCAGUGGGGAAUAUUGCACAAUGGGCGAAAGCCUGAUGCAGCGACGCCGCGUGGGGGAUGACGGUCUUCGGAUUGUAAACCCCUUUCAGUAGGGACGAAGCGCAAGUGACGGUACCUGCAGAAGAAGCACCGGCCAACUACGUGCCAGCA
rnacentral:rRNA from 1 species